rnacentral:rRNA from 1 species
GAUGAACGCUAGCGGCAGGCUUAAUACAUGCAAGUCGAGGGGCAGCAUGACUGUAGCAAUACAGUUGAUGGCGACCGGCAAACGGGUGCGGAACACGUACAGAACCUUCCUUCGAGCGGGGAAUAGCCAAGAGAAAUUUGGAUUAAUACCCCAUAGUAUUACGGAGUGGCAUCACUUUGUAAUUAAAGAUUUAUCACUUGAAGAUGGCUGUCCGGCUGAUUAGGUAGUUGGCGGGGUAACGGCCCACCAAGCCUGCGAUCAGUAACUGGGGGGAGGGAACAACCAGUAACACGGGGACUGAGACAGGGGCCCGACGCCUACGGGAGGCAGCAGUAAGGAAUAUUGGUCAAUGGACGAAAGUCUGAACCAGCCAGGCCGCGUGAAGGAUGAAGGUCCUCUGGAUUGUAAACUUCUUUUAUAUGGGACGAAAAAAGGCUUUUCUAAGUCGUCUGACGGUACCAUAUGAAUAAGCACCGGCUAACUCCGUGCCAGCCGCCGCCGUAAAAC